AUGGGCGCUAUGCUCACCCAGGACGGCCAUCCCGUCACCUACCUCAGCAAGGCUCUGGGGGUGAAGAACCAGAAGUUGUCAACGUAUGAGAAGGAAUUCCUGGCCGUCAUGAUGGCCAUCGACAAGUGGAGGCCCUAUCUGCAGCGCGCCCCAUUCGAAAUCAUCACCGACCACAAGAGCCUAUGCACGUUCGGUGAUCAGUAG
rnacentral:rRNA from 1 species